rnacentral:rRNA from 1 species
CUACGGAGGGUGCAAGCGUUAUCCGGAUUUAUUGGGUUUAAAGGGUGCGCAGGCGGACCUGUCAGUCAGUGGUGAAAUCCCGGGGCUCAACCCCGGAACCGCCAUUGAUACUACAGGUCUUGAAUACGGUUGAAGUAGGCGGAAUGUAGCAUGUAGCGGUGAAAUGCAUAGAUAUGCUACAGAACACCGAUCGCGAAGGCAGCUUACUAAGCCGAUAUUGACGCUCAGGCACGAAAGCGUGGGUAGCGAACAGGAGUAGAAACCCUAGUAGUCC